rfam:Plasmodium falciparum Dd2 supercont1.166 genomic scaffold, whole genome shotgun sequence.
UAUAUUGUUCCAGUAAUCCAACUAAGUACGAAAGGAAUAGUUUGGUCAGACAGUUAAUUUAGCUUUCGGUUGAAAAACCAAUAUAGCAACUAUUUUAUGUCUGUUGUGAUAAUAGCUGAAAGCAUCUUAAGCUAGAAUCCAUUCUGUAUAUACAAUAUAUGAUUAUUUUUCUUUGUCUUGGUAAUUUUUUUUUUACUGUUAAUGUAAAAAGAGAACACAUAUUAUAUUACAAAAGCAUUUUUAUAAAUGUAUUUAGAAAUAUAAAUAAUCCACUUUAUAUUUAAAUAUGUACAUUAUAUAUAUAUAUAUAUGUGUACAUAUUUAUAAUAUUUAUUAAUUUAGCAACAAAGAAAACGAGAGAAAAACUGUAGACGACUUUUUUGCCUCGGAGUGCUGUAACCAUGAUAGUAAACCAUUUUAAGUUUUACGAUCUGCUGAGGCUUAUCUCCUGUGGUCAAAUUCU